CUAAUAAUGCCUUUCUCAGAUUUUUCUUCUUAAAAAAGAAAAACCUUUACUUUUGGGAAGACAUCAGAUAUUAAUGCUGCUAUGGCUUUAAUAGAGAGUCUACCAGUUACUGAUGAGCUGUUUAAAGGAUGGUUUGCAGUGCCCGGUGGAGGUGAUGAUAGACCACUCCAGACAGGAAGAGGCUGACACAGUGGUGAUCUGCAUCUGCAGCUUCUGAGAGGAAAAAAAAAUCUUCCUUGGCAAGUGGAGCUAGAAACCCAGAAAAUGAAGGAUUAAUACGUUCAUUUAUACAGGAGCAGUGAGAACACAAUAACAUGAAAUACAACCAAGGAGGAUGCAUUUAAAAGACAAAAGAGCCCUGGAAGGGACGGUACUUAGCUUUGUUCAGAAUGCGAACUCUAACAUGCAGUUCUGGGAAUUGGUGAAUUGCACAGCUUAAUGUUAAAAGAAAUUACUUCAUACCACAAGAAAUACACGAUCUGUGCCUUGAAAACCUGAAGGUACUUUCCUUUCUCUUUCUGCCAGGAGAGGAAUGGAACACUGGAUCUACUUGAAAUUGAGAAAGGACAGAUCAUUAAGAAAACAGGACCGCUACAUUAUUGGAACCUUCAAACAGAUCUCCCUGCCUGCCUCCUUUGGAAGAGAUGCAGACUGAGCCUGAGACAUAUGGAGGCUUUGGUAAAGGGCUUUAAAAUGCUUCCUCACCCCCAGCUGAGUAUUGGUAGCUACUUCAGAGUUGUGAAAAGAGAAGAUAUCCUUAGCUGUCUGUGCAGAGCAUUUUCAGACUAAGAAGUCAGGAAGCACUGGUAGGAUAUUUAUAAUCAUGCAGAGCUCUGCUACAUUUUCAUAGUAAGGAAAAUAUAUUCUCCUGUAGGAAUUACUGUGUUCAGUCCUUUGCCCUAUGUUAAGAAGACA
rnacentral:lncRNA from 1 species